rnacentral:rRNA from 1 species
UGGGGAAUAUUGGACAAUGGGCGAAAGCCUGAUCCAGCAAUACCGCGUGUGUGAAGAAGGCCUGAGGGUUGUAAAGCACUUUCAAUAGGAAGGAAUACCUAUCGGCUAAUACCCGAUAGACUGACAUUACCUAUACAAGAAGCACCGGCUAACUCCGUGCCAGCAGCCGCGGUAAUACGGAGGGUGCAAGCGUUAAUCGGAAUUACUGGGCGUAAAGCGUGCGUAGGCGGUUGGCUCAGUCAGAUGUGAAAGCCCCGGGCUUAACCUGGGAACUGCAUUUGAUACUGGCCGACUAGAGUUGAGUAGAGGAGAGUGGAAUUUCAGGUGUAGCGGUGAAAUGCGUAGAGAUCUGAAGGAACACCAGUGGCGAAGGCGGCUCUCUGGACUCAAACUGACGCUG